rnacentral:misc_RNA from 1 species
GGAAGCAAAAGUCGUAACAAGGUUUCCGUAGGUGAACCUGCGGAAGGAUCAUUCAUAAUAAGUGUUUUAUGGCACUUUUUUAAAUCCAUAUCCACCUUGUGUGCAAUGUCAGGGUUGAUUUUUCUCUCGAGAGGAUCAACCCCAAACAUCAACUAUAUCUCAACUCUUUGUCUGAAUAAUAUUAUGAAUAAAACAAUUCAAAAUACAACUUUCAACAACGGAUCCCUUGGCUCUC